UACGUAGGGUGCGAGCGUUGUCCGGAAUUAUUGGGCGUAAAGGGCUCGUAGGCGGUUUGUCGCGUCGGGAGUGAAAACACUGGGCUUAACUCAGUGCUUGCUUCCGAUACGGGCAGACUAGAGGUAUGCAGGGGAGGACGGAAUUCCUGGUGUAGCGGUGAAAUGCGCAGAUAUCAGGAGGAACACCGGUGGCGAAGGCGGUUCUCUGGGCAUUACCUGACGCUGAGGAGCGAAAGUGUGGGGAGCGAACAGG
rnacentral:rRNA from 1 species